rnacentral:rRNA from 1 species
GGCGUGCCUAACACAUGCAAGUCGAACGAGAAAGGCCCCUUCGGGGGCCCGGUACAGUGGCGCACGGGUGAGUAACACGUGGGUAAUCUGCCCUUGAGUGGGGAAUAACCCAGGGAAACUUGGGCUAAUACCGCAUAACAUCCUGUCUUCACAUGCGGAUAGGAUCAAAGCUGGGGAUCGCAAGACCUGGCGCUCGAGGAGGAGCCCGCGGCUGAUUAGCUAGUUGGUGGGGUAAUGGCCUACCAAGGCGACGAUCAGUAGCCGGCCUGAGAGGGUGAUCGGCCACACUGGAACUGAGACACGGUCCAGACUCCUACGGGAGGCAGCAGUGAGGAAUUUUGCGCAAUGGGCGAAAGCCUGACGCAGCAACGCCGCGUGGAUGAUGAAGGCCCUCGGGUCGUAAAAUCCUGUCAAGUGGGAAGAAGUCCGCUCGAUUAAUACUCGGGUGGAUUGACUGUACCACUGGAGGAAGCCCCGGCUAACUCCGUGCCGGCAGCCGCGGUAAUACGGAGGGGGCAAGCGUUGUUCGGAAUUAUUGGGCGUAAAGGGCGCGUAGGCGGCCAUGCAAGUCGGUUGUGAAAUCCCUUGGCUCAACCAAGGAACUGCGUCCGAAACUACAUGGCUAGAGUCCGGGAGAGGGUAGUGGAAUUCCCAGUGUAGCGGUGAAAUGCGUAGAUAUUGGGAGGAACACCGGUGGCGAAGGCGGCUACCUGGACCGGAACUGACGCUGAGGCGCGAAAGCUAGGGGAGCAAACAGGAUUAGAUACCCUGGUAGUCCUAGCUGUAAACGAUGAGCACUUGGUGUAGCGGGUAUUGACCCCUGCUGUGCCGAAGCUAACGCAUUAAGUGCUCCGCCUGGGGAGUACGGUCGCAAGGCUGAAACUCAAAGGAAUUGACGGGGGCCCGCACAAGCGGUGGAGCAUGUGGUUCAAUUCGACGCAACGCGAAGAACCUUACCUGGGUUUGAACUGCAGGUGACUGCCCCUGAAAGGGGGCUUCCUUCGGGCGCCUGUAGAGGUGCUGCAUGGCUGUCGUCAGCUCGUGUCGCGAGAUGUUGGGUUAAGUCCCGCAACGAGCGCAACCCUUGCCCUCAGUUGCCAGCGGGUUAUGCCGGGAACUCUGAGGGGACUGCCCCGGAAAACGGGGAGGAAGGUGGGGAUGACGUCAAGUCCUCAUGGCCUUUAUGCCAGGGCUACACACGUGCUACAAUGGGCGGGACAAAGGGUCGCGAUACCGCGAGGUGGAGCUAAUCCCAUAAAACCGUCCUCAGUACGGAUUGCAGUCUGCAACUCGACUGCAUGAAGUUGGAAUCGCUAGUAAUCGCGGAUCAGCACGCCGCGGUGAAUACGUUCCCGGGCCUUGUACACACCGCCCGUCACAUCACGAAAGUCGGUUGCACUUGAAAUCGCCGGGCUAACCCGCAAGGGAGGCUAGCGCUUACGGUGUGAUCGAUGAUUGGGGUGAAGUCGUAACAAGGUA